UGCCCCUCACUUGCCAAUACGUCUAGAUCAGCCAGGGCGUCGGCAUGUGUAGCGUAUUAUGUUGGGCUCUCUCGAGAUAAGGAUACGAUGUCCCUUUAUCGGUUGGUUUCCUGUGUGUGCGGCCCGUUCGUUUUUUUGUUACUUUCGCAUCGUUCGGUGCAUUCUGGGGGCUGUGUUGGCUUUUGGUGGCUUGCUUGGCCUUUUGGCUUUGCUUGUUGCUACUUGUCGGGCUGCUUUCGGGAAUGUCGACCGUGGAGGUGCAUGAGUGGUGUUUGGUUUGUUACGUGUUGAUGGCUGUUUGCUUGUGCAACAACGUUCACGCUGCAUACCUCUUCAGUUUUGCGGCAAGGCUUGGUUUGGCUUGUGCAUAUUGUGGGUUUCCUGUGUUGCAUACCUAGUUGAUGGAAAAGUGUGGGUUUUACGAUUUUCAUUUUCGUCUUGCGUCGUUCUUUUGGCGUGGGAUGAACAAUGAAGCGAUCUUUAUGAUCCAUCGUGCUGUUGCGUUUGCAACAAUGAUGUGGCCUAUGAAGCAUCGUUUGGUCUCUUGUAUACGGAAGCUCAUUUGGGCUUGGGUCUUUAUAAGAUCUUCGUUACGCCCUUGUUAAGCGUUCUCGCUUCUCCUAAACGAUUG
rnacentral:misc_RNA from 1 species